UCUUGGCUAUAAAUGGCAGGGGACCAAAAGGUACAGGAGUCAUUUCGUGAGCACCAGUGGCAACCUGGAACGCAGUCAGAAAAAAAUAGAGACCAUCUCUGCGGAUCGUGAAGCCAGCUGAGAAGCUGAGCUUUUAAAAACUAUGGUGCUGCUGUAAGUGGCCUGGGGAGAGGGGAGGCUUCGAGGACAGGUUGCAAGCAUGGGGGCACAGUGAAACUAGUGUGCAAGUUGCCAAAGAGGAGGCAGCUUUUGAGCACUGCACAGAGCCUGUAAUGAAAAGGGCUCAGUAUCCCAGAAACCUUUGGCCUCAGGAUGACAGACAUUUUUCAGGUGGAGAUAGGGACACAGUACAUUUGCCAUUAAUUUUUAAUUGUAAUGGAGUAUUCUGUAGUGAUAAGUAGUUUCUGCUGUACAGGCUGCCUGCAGCAUGCAGUGGCCUGCUGGAAACCUGCUCUCUUGUAAGGCUGCUACAAGAAGAACACAGAGGGACUGGAAAACAUUUCUAAGACACUGCUGGAAUGCUGAAAAAAAAUAAAAAAUCAUUGUUACACAAAUUGAGCUUUCCUGUAGAAGUGCUGCUACUAAAUCGUAGUUUUAGAUCUUCAUUUUAGUUUCCUUAGACACAAGAAGGUGGUAUGUGUCUUGUGCUCCACUGGUGCUGAGGAAAUGCAGCCCCUGUGUUUCCUGCUGGGGCCUGAGACACAGCCCUAGGGAUGAGGUGGGGUGUAGCUGCUGGGAUGCUCAUCUGGGGCUCGGAAGAGAGGGAUUGGGUUCCAUGUGCAGCCACAGGCCUCCUGUGGGCCGAAUUAGCUGAGGAGCUGAGCUUCUGGAGGAGCACCCCUAAUUUCAGAGGGAGCAUGCUGGAGGAUUGGGUCCUCCAAGUUAGAUUUCUGCUUUGUUCUCUUUUCACGUGACUCCCCUCCUGUCUGCCUUAAUCUGACCGCUGUUACGUGGGUUGCAGAAGUCUCUAGGAUAAGUAUCUGAAGGGGCUGGUGGGCACCACGGGGCUGUCAUCUCACUUGGCAGCCACAAGUGAGUCACGGUGACUGAGGCCUGUGAAGGCUGCUAAGAGGGCCCGUUGUUGCAAAGUCCUGUGAGUCCUUUCCAGCCCAGGAGAUGUUGCUCCUGCCAGGUUGCAGAGGAAUCGAUGGAGAAACAAGGCUCUGGUGCUCUGCUCGUGCCUGGCUGGGAGAGCGGUGGUCCGAAUUUGGGCCGUGUCAGCUUGGGGGCCUCGUGCUGUGAAAUCAGGAUGGGGCCGCUGAGAGGGGCAGGCCCAGCACUGCAGGGAGGGCUAAAACUGGUGUUGCUGCUCUCACCACCAUGAAUUACGUGAAGGAGAAAUACUCCGGCCCUGUGCUCCUCGCCCCUCCAGAUGGGAGAGCACUAAGAUCCUAAAUGACAAAAGAAGAGGAAACGAAGAAUUAAGCACGGCUUUCUGGAUGCUUCCAAGGAAGACAUAAGGGCAAAGGACGUCCUGGCACUGAGGGGAAGGGAAAAAAGAAACUCGUUUCCAAGGAUUCAACCCUUAAGCACAGUGACAUAGAAAGAAGGAGAUUCUGUUUGUGGAGCAAGUGAGGAAGGAAAUUAAAGACUGGGGAAUGAAGAAGCAGCUCACCAGUGCUUUGGGGCAGGGCUAGGUGGUGGGCCUGUCCCUAGGGGAGCUUGUCUCCCAAAAGCAGAAGCCACCACCUGUGGCUGCUUCACCCGUGGUGCUGGCACGCUGUUGUCCCCAGGCUGGGCUGUGAGGACGUCCAUGUGUGUGCUCGUUCAUCCUCCAGGCCUGGCUCCAUUCCCUCCCCUAGGGGCUGCAGGGCCGGAUGCUUUUUAACUGUUAAAUCCAUUCAUUCUUGAAGGGCUCUACAUCCUUGGAAAGUAAAAUACAUUCUCGAGAAGCGGGUGACCUAAGCUUUGGGGUAUGUCUUGGAAACUGGAAAAUGUCCCAUGUGCUUUGUUCCUGCUGCUAGUGGAAGCCCACAGAGGCUGGUUGGGUCUGUGGCACCGUCCUGGCUGCGGAUCAUGGCACCUCCCAGACCUUCAGCCAAGCCCAGUACAACUCUUGCAGCCCUCUUCUCCUUGUGGGGUCUCAAAAAAUGUCCUUCCUUCAUUUCACGAGGCAGCCUCCCCACACCACAGAGCCUGCUGGUGGCUCGGAUGGUGUAUCUAGCGAGCUGACAGCAGGUUAGCUGCAGAGAGGCUGUCCCCGAAGGGCUGCGAAUCCUGUCUUAAUCAAGCAGGCCGGUGCUUCUGCUUCUCCGCAUCAGCAAUGAGCAGUUGCCGCAGGGGAUAGAGCAGAACUGAGAAAGGAAAACAGCAGCGGUGGUGACCGGAGUGCUGCACGAAGCCUCCUGGCCUGCCUUGAACUACUGAGCCGGGCACCAGGAGCUGCCCAGGGUGCGCUGAUGACUUCUGUCAGCUCCAUGGCCAAAUCCUGCAGAGAGGACGGGAGGCAGGCAGAAAAUCUCAAGCCCACCGCGUUGCCAGUGGGCAAGUUGAGCACGCUGUCAGGAGUAAUUCAUCCAGCCACAGAUUAACAGAGGAGUCCUGCAGGCACAGUUUUCUCCCUACCUCAUUACUUUGUCUCUGAGUGAAUUCCUGCAGUUAAUCUUUUGCUUUGUCAUUUUGCUGGAAGUCAUGGCACUUCAUCUUUACCUCCAGGGACAGCGACACCAAACCAGAAACCCCAUGCAGCCGGCAUGCAGCCACCUUGCAGAGCCUUAAUAUAUCUUCCAGCUGCUGAUGUCCAGGUAGCUGUGCCAUCUCCAGAGCGAAGAACUUCUGCCAGGCUGGCUGCCCGCAGCUUUCCCUUGGAAAUCCCCCAUUUCUAACCUUAACUGCUUUUCUUACAAGGAAGAAGCAUCCCCCCGAGUUUAAAGGCAUUCCAAAGGCACUGUGGACAAAAAGAAGAUGAGACAGAACUGGGGACCACAUCAGCCGCUUCUACUGCCUGUUCUGAGUGACCUCUGCAUAGAUGUAAUCUGAUGUACAUCAUACUUGAGAGAGAAAGACUAAGAGAGGGAAAUGAGUUUCUUCUCAAGGGUUUGAUCCUGUGUAAAGCUUCAGGUCCAAAGUUUAUGAUCAUUUAACAUCCAACUGCAUCAGUGCUCAGGACAACACAGGAUACAGCUCAGCUUGCCAGGACCUCCAUGGGCAUGUUAUUGAACCAUAUUGUUGUGGUCACCAUCCUGCUUCACUCCUAGGUCUCCCACUUUUCUCCCAGCCCUCAGCAUUGCCUCUGGGUGCUGCUGAGCUCUGCCGAUUGUUCUUGCCAGCUCCUGAAUUAACAGGACCAGGCUGAACAUGAUGCGGGGCAGGUGGUGCCCCUGAGGAACUCCUGGAAGGGCCAUCAAGGUGGGCAGUGGACAUGGGUCACCAUGGAGCGGGCCAACAAAGCAGUUUACCUGCAGUCCUUCAGGUCUGAAAGUGAUGCAUUGGUUUGGAAACCUGACCACCACGUUAGGCCUUUUCUCAAGAAGCAGCUUCUCCCAGUGCCUUCUCAUCAUGACAUGUAUUAAAUGGUCCUACCUCACACGUUGCAAAACCAGGCUUUCAGCUGUCUGUGGCUUGCUGGAAGUCUGUCCAAACAGGAUUUAAGAGCAUCACUGAAAUCUCAUCCAAGGACAAGAGUACCCUGAGGGAGAGAACAAAUAUCACAUGCUGUGGAAGAAAGAAAAUUCAGAUCAGAUGCAGGGAACAAAAGUGAUUCCCCACUUAAUUCUUCGCCUGCAUAACUCGCCAGUGGUGGACGCCAUUUGUGCAGGAGCAGAGGAAGUUUAAACAAAAGGCUGCCCAGACCUACCUUGAAAACAAAACUUUUGUGGAUCCCUACCUGCAAAUAAAUGCUUUUAAAA